rnacentral:rRNA from 1 species
UACGGGGGGGGCAAGCGUUGUUCGGAAUUACUGGGCGUAAAGGGCUCGUAGGCGGCCAACUAAGUCAGACGUGAAAUCCCUCGGCUUAACCGGGGAACUGCGUCUGAUACUGGAUGGCUUGAGAUUGGGAGAGGGAUGCGGAAUUCCAGGUGUAGCGGUGAAAUGCGUAGAUAUCUGGAGGAACACCGGUGGCGAAGGCGACAUCCUGGACCAACACUGACGCUGAGGAGCGAAAGCCAGGGGAGCAAAGCGGG